rnacentral:lncRNA from 1 species
UUUUAAAAGCUCCCCAGCUGAAUCUAAUGUGCAACUCAGACUGAGAACCUUUCUGUUAAGCCUUUAAAGGACAAACAGAAUUUCCUCAUGAACUGCAUUUGGAGGCUGCAUUUAAUUAUCAUCUGUUUUCAGUCUUUCAUAGAGCCAGUUUGUUAUCAAAAAUAUAAGUUUUCCAAUGUGGCCUGAUCAAUGUAACCUACACUGCAUCCGAUUCUUCCUCUGAUCUGAAUGCUGGGCUUCCAUAAAUGUGGCUGAAGACAGCUUUAGCUUUAAAUUUUUUUUUUUUUUCCGGCAGCUUUCCCAAUCUGUCGGUUCAUUGGGCUUAUGAAAGAACGGAACCUUCUGGUUUUUUCACAUACGCUGCUGUUGAAACGGUCUCCUCUAUCAGGUGGCUCCUGGUUUGGUGUGGAUGCCUUACACGUAAAAGGAUGAUGGAGUCCGAUAUGGCUUGCUCUGCCCACUCUUUCCUCCAAAUGGAAGUGGCCCAAGUCUCUCUCAACCUAUCCGUGGUUCCUUCAGGCUCACAGUUGGAUGGAAUGAAGAGGGGAAGCAGUGACUCAUGCAGGUGGCCAGAUGGCUCUAGGAGUGGCUGUUUUUAUUGGUCUUGGAUCUUCCCUACCAUUCUUUCAGCCAAGAGUUCCCAGACCCAGCUCUCAAUGACUUAUCAAAGAAGAAAACCAGAUCCAUCUGGAGCCAAGUGAAGUCUUUCUGCCUAGAACAUUUGGGAGCCCCUAGUGCCCUGAAGAGCAUCAUUGCCUUCCAGGCACAGGAUGAAUGAGGCCAGGCAGCGCCUGCUGCUCCCCACCUUGCUCAAUUUUACAGAGC